rnacentral:rRNA from 1 species
AGUGAACGCUGGCGGUAGGCCUAACACAUGCAAGUCGAACGGCAGCACAGUAAGAGCUUGCUCUUACGGGUGGCGCGUGGCGGACGGGUGAGGAAUACAUCGGAAUCUACUUUUUCGUGGGGGAUAACGUAGGGAAACUUACGCUAAUACCGCAUACGACCUACGGGUGAAAGCAGGGGAUCUUCGGACCUUGCGCGAUUGAAUGAGCCGAUGUCGGAUUAGCUAGUUGGCGGGGUAAAGGCCCACCAAGGCGACGAUCCGUAGCUGGUCUGAGAGGAUGAUCAGCCACACUGGAACUGAGACACGUUCCAGACUCCUACGGGAGGCAGCAGUGGGGAAUAUUGGACAAUGGGCGCAAGCCUGAUCCAGCCAUACCGCGUGGGUGAAGAAGGCCUUCGGGUUGUAAAGCCCUUUUGUUGGGAAAGAAAAGCAGCAGGUUAAUACCCCGCUGUUCUGACGGUACCCAAAGAAUAAGCACCGGCUAACUUCGUG